GAUGAACGCUGGCGGCGUGCCUAAUACAUGCAAGUCGAGCGAAGCGGGGGCGGGUGAGUAACACGUGGAUAAACUCCUAUAAGAAUGGGAUAACUGCGGGAAACAGGAGCAAAACAGGAUACUUAGAGAUGGAUCAGCGUUGCAUUAGCUAGUUGGUAAGGUAACGGCUGACCAAGGCAACGCUGCAUAGCCGACCUGUGAGGGUGAUCGUCCACACUGGAACUGAGACACGGUCCAGACUCCUACGGGAGGCAGCAGUAGGGAAUCUUCGGCAAUGGGCGAAAGUCUGACCGAGCAACGCCGCGUGAGUGAUGAAGGUUUUCGGAUCGUAAAACUCUGUUAUUAGGGAAGCGGUACCUAAUCAGAAAGCCACGGCUAACUACGUGCCAGCAGCCGCGGUAAUAC
rnacentral:rRNA from 1 species